rnacentral:tRNA from 1 species
UAGAGCGCGGUCCUGAUAAGACCGAGGUCGAUGGUUCGAGUCCAUCCAGGCCCACCA